AAUAUACCUACUCGUCACGUGACUAAACAAUAUCACAAAUAUAUAUAAGCGUCAUUGCCCCGCGAGCUAUCCCUACAGUCGACCGAUAGUUUCAAGAUGGAGUCACUGAUCGCCUUCUGCUUCCUCGUUGUAUUUGCAUUGAUAAACCUGGGAAUAAGCCCAGCUAUGGCGGCCUCAGAGCCUGAGAGCUCUGCCUCCACGCAAGGCUUCUCCGUCCUUCUGGGGUCCUUGGCGAUGGUGCUGGGCUAUGUCGUGGCGAAGUAAUCCAGUGUCCACCAUGACGUCAGCUGACCAGGAUCCGCAGAAACCGGAAAUACCGAUUGUGGACAAACUGUUAGUCAUAACAUGCAAUCUGCUGUUUUAUCACGUGUAUUCUUCGAGUCUAAAAAUACUUUUCUGACAGAAUUUAAAAGUUACGUUGUCAACUUGAAUAUCACAAAUAAAUCUGAUAUCUGAA